rnacentral:rRNA from 1 species
UACGGAGGAUGCGAGCGUUAUCCGGAUUUAUUGGGUUUAAAGGGUGCGUAGGCGGCGAUGCAAGUCAGAAGUGAAAGCCCGGGGCUCAACUCCGGGACUGCUUUUGAAACUGUGUUGCUAGAUUGCAGGAGAGGUAAGUGGAAUUCCUAGUGUAGCGGUGAAAUGCGUAGAUAUUAGGAGGAACACCAGUGGCGAAGGCGGCUUACUGGACUGUAAAUGACGCUGAGGCUCGAAAGCGUGGGGAGCAAACAGG